rnacentral:rRNA from 1 species
UGAGGAAUAUUGGUCAAUGGACGAGAGUCUGAACCAGCCAAGUAGCGUGAAGGAUGACUGCCCUAUGGGUUGUAAACUUCUUUUAUACGGGAAUAAAGUGCAGUAUGUAUACUGUUUUGUAUGUACCGUAUGAAUAAGGAUCGGCUAACUCCGUGCCAGCAGCCGCGGUAAUACGGAGGAUCCGAGCGUUAUCCGGAUUUAUUGGGUUUAAAGGGAGCGUAGGCGGAUGCUUAAGUCAGUUGUGAAAGUUUGCGGCUCAACCGUAAAAUUGCAGUUGAUACUGGGUGUCUUGAGUACAGUAGAGGUAGGCGGAAUUCGUGGUGUAGCGGUGAAAUGCUUAGAUAUCACGCAGAACUCCGAUUGCGAAGGCAGCCUACCGGCUCCCAGACUGACGCUGAGGCACGAAAGCGUGGGGUAUCGAACAGGAUUAGAUACC